AGGAGGAACAGCCCCCAGUGGCGGGGCAGCUCUGGAAACCUGGAUUCAGCUCCGGCAGGAACUCCGUCUGCAGGGCCUGGAGGCUCCGGGGCGGG
rnacentral:pre_miRNA from 1 species